CGGGUGAGUAACACGUAUGCAACCCUGCCUGCCACAGCCGGAUAAUCGGGAGAAAUUCCGUCUAAUACGGCAUAAUGCAUCGACGGGACAUCCUGUUGGUGCCAAAGGUUGAUUCCGGUGGCGGAUGGGCAUGCGUCGCAUUAGUUAGUUGGCGGUGUAACGGACCACCAAGACGACGAUGCGUAGGGGUUCUGAGAGGAAGGUCCCCCACACUGGUACUGAGACACGGACCAGACUCCUACGGGAGGCAGCAG
rnacentral:rRNA from 1 species